UAACACCAGCAGGAUGGCCGGCCCCCAGGCUGGGCUGGGCGAGUAUCUCUUUGAAAGGCUCACCCUCACGUAUGAAAGG
rnacentral:pre_miRNA from 1 species